UUCCGGUUGAUCCUGCCGGACCUUACUGCUAUCGGGGUGGGACUAAGACAUGCGAGUCGAGCGUUUCUAGCUAUGUUGAGACGCGGCAUACGGCUCAGUAACACGUGGCUAACCUACCCUCAGGACGGGGACAAACCCGGGAAACUGGGGCUAAUAUCCGAUAGGCGAGGAAUCCUGGAAUGGUUCUUCACCCAAAGGACAUUGGAAACAUGCUUUCUCUGUCGCCUGGGGAUGGGGCCGCGACCGAUCAGGUUGUUGGUGAGGUAAUGGCUCACCAAGCCUUUGACCGGUACGGGCCAUGAGAGUGGUAGCCCGGAGAUGGACACUGAGACAAGGGUCCAGGCCCUAAGGGGCGCAGCAACCGCGAAACCUCCACAAUGCACUAACGUGCGAUGGGGCUAUCUCGAGUGCCACCUGAUGAAGGUGGCUUUUCCUUGGUCUUCAAAGCCUUGGGAAUAAGAGGGGGGCAAGACUGGUGUCAGCCGCCGCGGUAACACCAGCCCCUCGAGUGGUGGGGAUGAUUAUUUGGCCUAAAGCGUCCGUAGCCGGCCGUGAAAGUCUUCCGUUAAAUCCAGCGUCUCAAGCGUUGGACCGCGGGAGAUACUACACGGCUAGAGAGUGGGAGAGGUCAGCGGUAUUCUGGGGGUAGGGGCGAAAUCCUUUGAUCCCCGGAGGACCACCAGUGGCGAAGGCUGCUGACUAGAACACGUCUGACGGUCAGGGACGAAAGCUGGGGUAGCGAACCGGAUUAGAUACCCGGGUAGUCCCAGCCGUAAACGAUGCAUGCUAGGUGUUG
rnacentral:rRNA from 1 species